GGGAACUGCGUUNUGAACUGGGUGACUAGAGUGUGUCAGAGGGAGGUAGAAUUCCACGUGUAGCAGUGAAAUGCGUAGAGAUGUGGAGGAAUACCGAUGGCGAAGGCAGCCUCCUGGGAUAACACUGACGUUCAUGCCCGAAAGCGUGGGUAGCAAACAGGAUUAGAUACCCUGGUAGUCCACGCCCUAAACGAUGUCGAUUAGCUGUUGGGCAGCAUGACUGCUUAGUAGCGAAGCUAACGCGUGAAAUCGACCGCCUGGGGAGUACGGUCGCAAGAUUAAAACUCAAAGGAAUUGACGGGGACCCGCACAAGCGGUGGAUGAUGUGGAUUAAUUCGAUGCAACGCGAAGAACCUUACCUGGUCUUGACAUGUACGGAACCCUCCAGAGACGGAGGAGUGCCUUCGGGAGCCGUAACACAGGUGCUGCAUGGCUGUCGUCAGCUCGUGUCGUGAGAUGUUGGGUUAAGUCCCGCAACGAGCGCAACCCUUGUCAUUAGUUGCCAUCAUUAAGUUGGGCACUCUAAUGAGACUGCCGGUGACAAGCCGGAGGAAGGUGGGGAUGACGUCAAGUCCUCAUGGCCCUUAUGACCAGGGCUUCACACGUCAUACAAUGGUCGGUACAGAGGGUAGCCAAGCCGCGAGGCGGAGCCAAUCUCACAAAACUGAUCGUAGUCCGGAUUGCACU
rnacentral:rRNA from 1 species